UACAGAGGGUGCGAGCGUUGUCCGGAAUCACUGGGCGUAAAGGGCGCGUAGGUGGCGCGACAAGUCAGUGGUGAAAGUUCGACGCUCAACGUCGAAUCGGCCACUGAUACUGUUGGGCUUGAGCACUGUAGAGGCUAAUGGAAUUCCGGGUGUAGCGGUGGAAUGCGUAGAGAUCCGGAAGAACACCGGUGGCGAAGGCGGUUAGCUGGGCAGUUGCUGACACUGAGGCGCGACAGCGUGGGGAGCAAACAGGG
rnacentral:rRNA from 1 species